rnacentral:misc_RNA from 1 species
GAUGAAGAACGCAGCGAAAUGCGAUACUUGGUGUGAAUUGCAGAAUCCCGUGAACCAUCGAGUCUUUGAACGCAAGUUGCGCCCGAAGCCAUUAGGCCGAGGGCACGCCUGCCUGGGCGUCACACGUCGUUGCCCCCCCAUCUACUCCUUCGGGAUUGCGGGGUGCGGAUGAUGGCCUCUCGUGCGCCUCGUCGCGCGGUUGGCCUAAAUGCCAAGUCCUCGGCGACGCACGCCACGACAAUCGGUGGUUGCGAAACCUCGGUUGCCUGUCGUGUGCGGUCGUCGCGCAUCGAGGGCUCGAAAAAAUUGCCGGGCUUCGGCUCGACUUUCAACGCGACCCCAGGUCAGGCGGGGUUACCCGCUGAAUUUAAGCAUAUCAAUAAGCGGAGGA